GGAUUGUAGCUCAGUGGUAGAGCGCUCGCCUAGCACAUGUGAGGCCCUGGGUUCGAUCCUCAGCACCA
rnacentral:tRNA from 1 species